UACGUAGGCAGCAAGCGUUGUUCGGAGUUACUGGGCGUAAAGGGUGCGUAGGCGGUUGUUUUAAGUUUGGUGUGAAAUCUCCCGGCUCAACUGGGAGGGUGCGCCGAAUACUGAAUGACUCGAGUGCGGGAGAGGAGAGUGGAAUUCCUGGUGUAGCGGUGAAAUGCGUAGAUAUCAGGAGGAACACCGGUGGUGUAGACGGCUCUCUGGACCGUAACUGACGCUGAGGCACGAAAGCGUGGGUAGCAAACAGG
rnacentral:rRNA from 1 species